UCCAUAGGUCUCGACCAAAUCUUGUGCCAGCAGUCGCGGUAAGACAAGGGAGACGAGUGUUAUUCAUCUUUAACAGGUAUAUAGGGUACCUAGACGGUGUGCAAUGGCUUAAAUAAGUACCUGGUACACUUGAGUUUGAUAUGUGAGAGGAAUAUGUCGGAAUUGUUGGAGGAAAGAUGAAAUUUGUUAAUACCAAUAGGACUGAUAACGGCGAAGGCAAACCUCUAUGUACAUGUACUUGCUAUUUCUGUUUUUAUUAUAGCAAAAUAGCAAUGUACUAUAACUGACGUUGAGGGACGAAGGCUCAGAGAGUGAAGAGGAUUAGAUACCCCCGUAACCUGGGCAGACAAUGAUGAGUGCCAUAGGUUGGCUUUAAGGCGGAACUAUAAAUGAAAGUGGAAGCACUCCACCUCAAGAGUAAUGUGGCAACGCAGGAACUGAAAUCAUUAGACCGUUUCUGAAACCAGUAGUGAAGUAUGUUAUUUAAUUCGAAUUGAUCCC
rnacentral:rRNA from 1 species